rnacentral:rRNA from 1 species
CAGCCGCCGCGGGAAUACAGAGGGUGCGAGCGUUAAUCGGAUUUACUGGGCGUAAAGCGUGCGUAGGCGGCUUUUUAAGUCGGAUGUGAAAUCCCUGAGCUUAACUUAGGAAUUGCAUUCGAUACUGGGAAGCUAGAGUAUGGGAGAGGAUGGUAGAAUUCCAGGUGUAGCGGUGAAAUGCGUAGAGAUCUGGAGGAAUACCGAUGGCGAAGGCAGCCAUCUGGCCUAAUACUGACGCUGAGGUACGAAAGCAUGGGGAGCAAACAGGAUUAGAUACACGAGUAGUCCCUGUCUCUUAUAC